rnacentral:sRNA from 1 species
CCACUGUCCAGCUUGUGUUUGCAGAAGCUGCCGUGUGGGGGCUGUGAGCGGCCCCGGGGAGGUGGGGUGGAGCCGCUGGGGGCUGCGCUGAGCUGGGCGCCCCGGGGCUGGGCUCACUCACUCUGGCCGCCCCCAGUGCUGCCUGGCCUGCCACAAGAAAUGUCUGGAGACGCUGGCCAUACAGUGCGGGCACAAGAAGCUGCAGGGCCGCCUGCAGCUGUUCGGCCAGGACUUCAGCCACGCGGCCCGCAGCGCCCCCGACGGCGUGCCCUUCAUCGUCAAGAAGUGCGUCUGCGAGAUCGAGCGGCGGGCGCUGCGCACCAAGGGCAUCUACCGGGUGAAUGGGGUAAAGACACGCGUGGAGAAGCUGUGCCAGGCCUUCGAGAACGGCAAGGAGCUGGUCGAGCUGUCGCAGGCCUCGCCCCACGACAUCAGCAACGUCCUCAAGCUCUACCUGCGUCAGCUUCCCGAGCCGCUCAUCUCCUUUCGCCUCUACCACGAGCUCGUAGGGCUGGCCAAGGACAGCCUGAAGGCAGAGGCUGAGGCCAAGGCGGCGUCCCGGGGCCGGCAGGACAGCUCG